rnacentral:rRNA from 1 species
GUACGGGAGGCAGCAGUUGGGAAUCUUCGGCAAUGGGCGAAAGCCUGACCGAGCAACGCCGCGUGAGUGAUGAAGGUCUUCGGAUUGUAAAGCUCUGUCUUCCGGGACGAUAAUGACGGUACCGGAGGAGGAAGCCACGGCUAACUACGUGCCAGCAGCCGCGGUAAUACGUAGGUGGCAAGCGUUGUCCGGAAUUACUGGGCGUAAAGGGCGCGUAGGUGGCCUGUCAAGUCAGAUGUGAAAUCCCCGGGCUUAACCCGGGAACUGCAUUUGAAACUGAUGGGCUUGAGGGCAGGAGAGGAAAGCGGAACUCCCAGUGUAGCGGUGAAAUGCGUAGAUAUUGGGAGGAACACCAGUGGCGAAGGCGGCUUUCUGGACUGUACCUGACACUGAGGCGCGAAAGCCAGGGGAGCGAACGGGAUUAGAUACCCCGGUAGG